UACAUGUGGGGCAAGCGUUGUUCGGAAUUACUGGGCAUAAAGGGUGCGUAGGCGGCUUGUUAAGUCAGGGGUGAAAGUUUUCGGCCCAACCGGAAAAUUGCCUUUGAUACUGGCGAGCUGGAGUGCGUGAGGGGUGACCGGAACGAGUGGUGUAGCGGUGAAAUGCGUAGAUAUCACUCGGAAGGCCAACGGCGAAGGCAGGUCACUGGUGCGCAACUGACGCUGAGGCACGAAAGCGUGGGGAGCAAACAGG
rnacentral:rRNA from 1 species